rnacentral:rRNA from 1 species
UACGUAGGGACCGAGCGUUGUCCGGAAUCAUUGGGCGUAAAGAGCGUGUAGGCGGCCUUUUAAGUCCUGCGUGAAAUCCUGCGGCUCAACCGCAGACGGUCGUGGGAAACUGGAAGGCUAGAGUGCGGGAGAGGAGAGUGGAAUUCCCCGGUGUAGCGGUGAAAUGCGCAGAUAUCGGGAAGAACACCCGUGGCGAAGGCGGCUCUCUGGAAGCGCAACUGACGCUGAGACGCGAAAGCGUGGGGAGCAAACAGG